rnacentral:lncRNA from 1 species
AACCGUACAAGUCGAGUCGCCACCGCACUUCUAUUUAUCCAAAGGAAUGGUUAGAAAGCGAACAAAAACCUAAAAGUUUUAUCGAAUCAAAAACUAGUAAAAAUGUCAGAGAUCUGGGUAAGGGGGUUGGUUAUGCAAUGGGAAGGUUUUAAGCACCCAAAACAUCCUAGGUACUCCUAGGGAGCCCUUUUCAUAUUUGUUGUAAGGUUGGUAUUUUGUGAAAA